rnacentral:rRNA from 1 species
UACAGAGGUGGCAAGCGUUGUUCGGAAUUACUGGGCGUAAAGGGCACGUAGUCGGCUUUGCAAGUCGGUUGUGAAAUCCCCGGGCUCAACCUGGGAACUGCAUUCGAGACUGCAUUGCUAGAGUAUGGGAGAGGGAAGUGGAAUUUCCGGUGUAGCGGUGAAAUGCGUAGAUAUCGGAAGGAACAUCAGUGGCGAAAGCGACUUCCUGGACCAAUACUGACGCUCAUGUGCGAAAGCGUGGGGAGCAAACAGG